AUUGAACGCUGGCGGCAGGCCUAACACAUGCAAGUCGAGCGGCAGCGCAAAGUAGCUUGCUACUUUGCCGGCGAGCGGCGGACGGGUGAGUAAUGACUGGGAAACUGCCUGAUGGAGGGGGAUAACUACUGGAAACGGUCGCUAAUACCGCAUAACGUCGCAAGACCAACGAGGGGGACCUUCGGGCCUCGUGCCAUCAGAUGUGCCCAGAUGGGAUUUGCUAGUAGGUGGGGUAAUGGCUCACCUAGGCGACGAUCCCUAGCUGGUGUGAGAGGAUGACCAGCCACACUGGAACUGAGACACGGUCCAGACUCGUACGGGAGGCAGCAGUGGGGAAUAUUGCACAAUGGGCGAAAGCCUGAUGCAGCCAUGCCGCGUGUAUGAAGAAGGCCCUCGGGUUGUAAAGUACUUUCAGCGGGGAGGAAGGCGGUGAAGUUAAUAACUUCACCGAUUGACGUUACCCGCAGAAGAAGCACCGGCUAACUCCGUGCCAGCCGCCGCCGUAA
rnacentral:rRNA from 1 species